AUCAUGUAUAUAUAGGCAUCACGUCCAUAAGCAAAUAGGCCAACUCCUUCCUCCAUCUAUUACUAUUGCUCCACCCAUCGACCACUAUCCAGCAUGCAUCUAGAGUAUUAAGUAAAACACAGUAAUGUUUGGAGAACAAUGACAUGAUGUAGAAAAAUAGAAGUCAAUUAAUAUGAACUAACCCCAUCGUUUUAUCCUUAGUGGCAACAAUACAAAGGUGUGUCCUUGUCCCUUUCUAUCACUGCGAUAUAAAACUCUGCCAGAUUGAACCCACUACAAUGCACCCUUCUCAUUGAAGAAAUAUCAAUCUAGUUGGCCAAACUAUUUCAAUGGAUCGGAGAGAUUUAUGAAGCUACCAUAAUCAUGCAAAUAAGAAUCAUAUCAGAAUUCAAAGAAGACUCAAGUCUUUAUCAUGAGGAAUCUAAACAUAAACCCACAAUUCAUCGGAUCCCAACAAAUGCACGGCACACAAGAAUUACAUCGGAUAUAUCAAAGCGAAGAUGCCAUGAUCAUUGUAUUGAAGAUCAAUAGAGAUAGAGAGAUA
rnacentral:lncRNA from 1 species